UGCCAGCAGCCGCGGUAAUACGGAGGGUGCAAGCGUUAUCCGGAAUCAUUGGGUUUAAAGGGUGCGUAGGCGGGACAAUAAGUCAGUGGUGAAAGCCUACAGCUUAACUGUAGAAAUGCCAUUGAUACUGUUGUUCUUGAGUCUGGUUGAGGUUGGCGGAAUGUGACAUGUAGCGGUGAAAUGCAUAGAUAUGUCACAGAACACCGAUUGCGUAGGCAGCUAACUAAACCAGUACUGACGCUGAGGCACGAAAGCGUGGGUAGCGAACAGGAUUAGAUA
rnacentral:rRNA from 1 species